GCCUUUGUGGUGUAGUGGUCAGCACGCUCGAUGAGUAACCGAGAGGACGAUGGUUUGAUUCCCGGUAAAGGCG
rnacentral:tRNA from 1 species